ACUCCUACGGGAGGCAGCAGUGGGGAAUAUUGCACAAUGGGGAAACCCUGAUGCAGCCAUGCCGCGUGUGUGAAGAAGGCCUUCGGUUGUAAAGCACUUUCAGUAGGGAGGAAGGUAGUGUAGUUAACACCUGCAUAUUUGACGUUACCUACAGAAGAAGCACCGGCUAACUCCGUGCCAGCAGCCGCGGUAAUACGGAGGGUGCGAGCGUUAAUCGGAAUUACUGGGCGUAAAGCGCAUGCAGGCGGCCUGUUAAGUCAGAUGUGAAAGCCCGGGGGCUUAACCUCGGAAUUGCAUUUGAAACUGGCAGGCUAGAGUCUUGUAGAGGGGGUAGAAUUUCAGGUGUAGCGGUGAAAUGCGUAGAGAUCUGAAGGAAUACCAGUGGCGAAGGCGGCCCCCUGGACAAAGACUGACGCUCAGAUGCGAAAGCGUGGGGA
rnacentral:rRNA from 1 species